AACCCUUUAUUACUAUUAAGUAAUUUUAUAACAAUAUAAAAGUUUUUAUGCUAAAACUAGUAACAAGAAAUUGUAUUUCUCCAAAAUUUAAGCAUAAACCAAAAAUGGACUAACCAUUGGUAAUUAACGUUAAUAAAAAUAUUAUAGUAACCCACCUAGAAAACACUAUAUUAUUACACGUUACCCUUACACAAGCAAAUUUCUGGAAAGAUUAAAAGAGAGAGAAGGAACUCGGCAAACCUUAACCCCGCCUGUUUACCAAAAACAUCGCCUCUUGAUAAAAUAUAAGAGGUCCAGCCUGCCCAGUGAUAUACUUAAACGGCCGCGGUACCCUGACCGUGCAAAGGUAGCAUAAUCAUUUGUUCUUUAAAUGAGGACUUGUAUCAACGGCAUCACGAGGGUUAUACUGUCUCCUCUCUCCAAUCAGUGAAACUGACCUCCCCGUGAAGAGGCGGGGAUAAAAACACAAGACGAGAAGACCCCAUGGAGCUUUAAACCCAAUAAUAACUCUUUCUAAACAAUCUUUCAAGACACAGACGUACUAUUUAUUGGUUUUAGGUUGGGGUGACCACGGAGUAAAAAUAAACCUCCUUGACGAAUAGAUAUUAUCUUUAUCCAAGAGCCACUGCUCGAAGAAUCAAAAAUUUGACGUUACAUGAUCCGGCAACCGAUCAACGAACCAAGUUACCCUGGGGAUAACAGCGCAAUCCAUUUCAAGAGCUCCUAUCGACAAAUGGGUUUACGACCUCGAUGUUGGAUCAGGGUAUCCCAGU
rnacentral:rRNA from 1 species